rnacentral:tmRNA from 1 species
GGGGGUGUUCCGGAUUCGACCCUUGGUUGGAGCGCGCCGUUGCCUGUCGAGAGUGAAGGUCUCUCGUUAAUCCCUCUUCAAAACAAACAAACGGCACAUUCGAAGAAAUGCCCCUGGCUGCUUAACGUAGCCACGUUCCUACCAUGACACCUGCUAGUGGCUAGGAGCGUCGACAGCAGGAAUAGCGGUGACGGCCGUCGUGACGUCACCGUGGUAUCUUCAACCACGGCUGGCUGAGGGAGGAGCGUGCGUCAUCGCGCCCCCGAGGUGAGAUCCAAUCAGACGCUACACAGGUAGAUGCGGCGCGUGAAGGCCAGGGACACAGGGGUUCAACUCCCCUCACCUCCACCA